GAUGAGGAUCGAAGUUACCUAACAGCAUAAGAAGAUCAAAGUGUCAAAGCAAGCCAGCAAUAGAUUUAAAGCAAACAUAAGCUUUAAGUUACUUUGUGCAACUCAGUGAAUAUGCAGCGUGGCAAAACAGUAAAUGCACACAAGGGGACCUAUGGCGAAAAAACUAUUUGGUGAAUAAAAGAUUUAGAAUUAAUUGAAACUUAUAGUAUUAAUAAUGGCCGUGAUAGCAAAUUCUACCGACUCGCAAUCCCACAUUUCUGAGCACGUUUGUACUGACGCAGUGAAAGUUACAGACUGUUUGCCGUUUCGGAAUUAGUUCAAAACACGUCAAUCUUAAACUAAAAUAUAUCGGUGCAGGCUUUCUUGCGGACCUUAUUAGCUUUAUCACGCAUUGCGAAAUAAUAAGUUCAAUCUUUCAAUCGUUUAUUCCUGGCUUGCUUGCUUAGCUUGCCAUAGGACACCCUAUAUAAUAGAAGUAAUACAAUGCAUUCAUAAGUUUUCGAUGCAACAUUGUAUGCAGUACCUGACAAGAGCAAACCAGUAGUAUGAAUAACUAAUAAAUGCCAAUAGCGUGUAGGUAGGAACUACUAACCUAUUUUCAAUUAAAUCUCCAUAAUAUAAAUAUUCUUAGCCUAUAUUUCCUACUUACAAAACAGGAUCUGAUAAUCGUGAUCUAAUUAAAAGGUAUGUACGACAUCUACAUGACAUAAUAAUGGGAGCUACAUACAUAAUAAAUAGUAUACCGUACCUAUAGUAAAUCAAUAAUAACAAGUCAAUAAGUUAAGAGUUAUGCAUAUUUUUUUGCAUUAUGUAUUUUUAACAUUCUAUUUGAUUCUAUGUAUUAAGUAUAAACUAUUAAUUUUUAGAUUUUUCAGUGGCCUUCGGGCAGCUUGAAAACAUCUGACAGUCUGGUUGCCCACUUACCGACAACACCACAGCACAAGCUUGUUUGUGUUGGGAUCCACCAACCCGAACUAGGCCAGCGUGGUGGACUAGGCCAAAAACCCUUCGUUAAUUUUGGAAAACCCGUGCCUCAGCUGUGGGGACGUGAUGGGUGAACAAAGCAAAGAUUAACAAUUAACGAGUCCAAACUUAUAGAAUCCAAGGGGUUUACAUUUGCAUUGUAUUAUUAAAUUAAUAUAAAUUAUGUGAACAUACCUUUAUAUUGCUAGACCUUAGAUAAAUAUACCUAUGUGCAUUGAAUACUAUAAAGUAGGUUGUAUUUAGUUAUAGGUAUAGGUGCUCAAUGUCCUGGUUCGUUUUGUUUGAUUGAAAAUAUAAUUUUCAUUGCACCUUGACUUGCACUUCAUUUCAGCUAAGAUGAUUCCUGUGACCUGUGUACAAUACUUUCCACCUGAAUUUAUCCGAUUAAAAUGUGAUGGUUACUUUAAUUUAACUCAGAUUAAAAUUAAAACAUAAUGUCUGGUCCCUAAAACGGCAACUACCGUAUACAAUUUCCGCGUAAAUGUUUAAUAUUGUGUGUAUGUAGGUACGUAUGGAUAUUUUCUAAACUUUCAGUUUUAAACAGGCUCUAAAACCACGUUUUUUUUUAUAUAUUCAGCUUUUUUAAGCGCUAUAUUAAACAGAUGCCACCCGCAGUUUAACCAUCUCUGGUCUAGUUACCUCAUAUCAACAUAAUAACUGAUAUAUACUCAGAUUGUAUAUUAUUACGUGCAGUAUAUAAGGACGAAGCUUCCUACACAGGACAUCAUUCACCAUCGUGCCCUGAUUACGGUAGUAAACACCCAUCAGCAGAAUGUUCAAGCUGUUUCUCCUGGCGACUCUGCUGGCUGUAGCCUCGGCCGCGCCAGCCCCGGAGCCCAACCCUCUACUGUACCCCGCAUACACCGCACCUCUGGCAGCCUACUCCGCACCGCUGGCCUACUCCUCCUACGCCUACUCUCCUUACGCCUACGGAGCCUACCGCUACCCGUAUGGAUACUACUUCAAAUGAGAAAAAAGUUUUCAAUGUGUCAAACUAUUUGCUUCCCGAACUCUUUGAUUAACGCGUAUUAAACCUCUUUGCUGUCAUACCAA